rnacentral:tRNA from 1 species
CAAAAUAUAGCUUAACUAAAGCCUCUUGCUUACACCAAGAAGAUGUCUACUAAUCCGGACUGUUUUGAAA